GAUCCUGGCUUAGGAUGAACGCUAGCGAUAGGCCUAACACAUGCAAGUCGAGGGGCAGCAUAGAGUAGCAAUACUUGAUGGCGACCGGCGCACGGGUGAGUAACACGUAUGCAACCUACCUACAUCAGGGGAAUAACCCGGAGAAAUUCGGACUAAUACCGCAUAAUACAGGGAUGCCGCAUGGCAAUAUUUGUUAAAGAUUUAUCGGAUGUAGAUGGGCAUGCGUUCCAUUAGCUAGUUGGUAAGGUAACGGCUUACCAAGGCAACGAUGGAUAGGGGAACUGAGAGGUUUGUCCCCCACACUGGAACUGAGACACGGACCAGACUCCUACGGGAGGCAGCAGUGAGGAAUAUUGGUCAAUGGACGAGAGUCUGAACCAGCCAAAUCGCGUGAAAGGAAGACUGCCCUACGGGUUGUAAACUUCUUUUGUACAGGAAUAAAAGACAUUACGUGUAAUGUAUUGCAUGUACUGUACGAAUAAGCAUCGGCUAACUCCGUGCCAGCCGCCGC
rnacentral:rRNA from 1 species